UACGGGGGGGGGCAAGCGUUGUUCGGAAUUACUGGGCGUAAAGGGCUCGUAGGCGGCCAACUAAGUCAGACGUGAAAUCCCUCGGCUCAACUGAGGAACUGCCUUUGAAACUGUCGGGCUUGAGGCCGGGAGGGGGUAGCGGAAUUCCCAGUGUAGCGGUGAAAUGCGUAGAUAUUAGGAGGAACACCGGUGGCGAAGGCGGCUGCCUGGACCGAUACUGACGCUGAGACGCGAAAGCGUGGGGGAGCAAACAGG
rnacentral:rRNA from 1 species